CAACUCCACCUUCUCCUUCUCCCCAACACUUCCCACCACCAAUUCACUGUAGAUACCGAGGGUGAGUUGCCCAGGCUUAUACAGGACGCUAAUCUAGGAAUGGGACACUUUGCUCUAGGCUAGACCUAUCCACAAGAUAUAAUUAUGUAUUUACCACGCUAUAUUCCAGUCAUUUACAUUUGUUUUCCUUCCGUUCUUUGGACUUUCUUCCUUUGUCUUGAGUAACUGGUCCAGUCCCAACACAUCACUGGGAUCUGAAUCUCCCAAGAGUUGGCCAUUCCCACAGUCACCAUGCACCUUCGGAGAAAAAGAUAAUAGUUCCUUUGGCCCCGACCCAGGCCAACACAAGCAAAUCCAUCAUGGGGAUAUUUGUUGUCCUCCUGACAGCUUCAUCCAUGAAUGCUCCUGUGAUAAUUUGGCUUACUUUGGUCUACUGUCAAGCUUUCUUUAAUUUGUUUCUGCCCCCACUGCUUCUAUUUUACAAGGUCACACAUCUUCAGCAGAAGCUAGUUCUUCAAGUGGAUUUGUUUAAAAUGAUGAAAUUACACUUUACCCAAUGCAUCUCCUCAGUCCUGUGACACAGAGCCCUAAAGAUGACCAGGGUUAUACAGAAGGACUCCAAAUAUCCUGAUUUCAGAAUGGCUGAGAUCAAACAUAAAGAAAUACAUCCCUGAAUACAUAUUUCUAUAUGCUUAUUUCUUCAUAUAUCUGUACUAAGUACAUAAAAAGGAAGGGCAGAGAGAACAUUCCUCAACAAACAGGCUGUAAGUCACUUUUUUAUGACUGAAUCAACAAAAUUCUGCUCAUAAAGUAUUUCAGAUGCAAUUUUGUGCAGCUCCAACUGUGUCAGAAACUUUCCUACAAUCAAGGAGAGAAAUAGAAAUGGAUUGUUCUCCCCCCCCCCACUCUCCUAUCUGCAAACUGUAUUUCUCACACAUUAGGAGGCUGUCUGUGUUAACAUGAGGAACGUGACAUUGUCUCCUAGAAAACCACUAGUUACACUUUGGUCAAGUAGCUGAGAGACUACAAGGAGCAGAGCACUGAACACUCUAAGGUUUUGUGGAAAAAAUCCCAGAAGGCUGUAAUUGUCAGAGGGUUUAAAUAACUAUAUUAAUCAGGUCUGGCCUGCAUAGUACACUUAAAAAUAGCUUCCCAUGCUCUUUGAUAAGUGCAAUGAAUGAUUCUUUGCUAAUAAAUCCUCCAUUUGGGAAAUGGCUUUUCUUGAAGUCAUUCAGAAAUGGGGAAUGCUCAGUAGGUCUUUGGUCAAUAUGAUUUUAUGGUUUGUUUGCAAAUAAUUAAACAGCUAUUAAACCUC